AUAGCCUUUCGAAAGAAAGAUUAAUAUCCGAUAGCAUAUAUUUCCCGCAUGGGUUUUAUAUUAAAGAAAUUCGGUAUGAGAUGGGGAUGCGUUCCAUUAGUUUGUUGGGGGGGUAACGGCCCACCAAGACUACGAUGGAUAGGGGUUCUGAGAGGAAGGUCCCCCACAUUGGAACUGAGACACGGUCCAAACUCCUACGGGAGGCAGCAGUGAGGAAUAUUGGUCAAUGGACGCGAGUCUGAACCAGCCAAGUAGCGUGAAGGAUGACUGCCCUAUGGGUUGUAAACUUCUUUUAUAUGGGAAUAAAGUUGUCCACGUGUGGAUUUUUGUAUGUACCAUAUGAAUAAGGAUCGGCUAACUCCGUGCCAGCAGCCGCGGUAAUACGGAGGAUCCGAGCGUUAUCCGGAUUUAUUGGGUUUAAAGGGAGCGUAGGCGGAUUGUUAAGUCAGUUGUGAAAGUUUGCGGCUCAACCGUAAAAUUGCAGUUGAUACUGGCAGUCUUGAGUGCAGUAGAGGUGGGCGGAAUUCGUGGUGUAGCGGUGAAAUGCUUAGAUAUCACGAAGAACUCCGAUUGCGAAGGCAGCUCACUGGAGUGUAACUGACGCUGAUGCUCGAAAGUGUGGGUAUCAAACAGGAUUAGAUACCCUGGUAGUCCACACAGUAAAC
rnacentral:rRNA from 1 species